rnacentral:tRNA from 1 species
GCCCGGGUAGGGUAGUGGUUAUCCCGGGGGCCUGUGGAGCCCCAGUUCGCGGGUUCGAUCCCCGCCCCGGGCC